rnacentral:rRNA from 1 species
GACGAACGCUGGCGGCGCUCCUAACACAUGCAAGUCGAACGAGCGAGAGAGAGCUUGCCUUCUCGAGCGAGUGGCGAACGGGUGAGUAACGCGUGAGGAACCUGCCUCAAAGAGGGGGACAACAGUUGGAAACGACUGCUAAUACCGCAUAAGCCCACGACCCGGCAUCGGGUUGAGGGAAAAGGAGCAAUCCGCUUUGAGAUGGCCUCGCGUCCGAUUAGCUGGUUGGUGAGGUAACGGCCCACCAAGGCGACGAUCGGUAGCCGGACUGAGAGGUUGAACGGCCACAUUGGGACUGAGACACGGCCCAGACUCCUACGGGAGGCAGCAGUGGGGAAUAUUGCACAAUGGGGGAAACCCUGAUGCAGCGACGCCGCGUGGAGGAAGAAGGUCUUCGGAUUGUAAACUCCUGUUGUUGAGGAAGAUAAUGACGGUACUCAACAAGGAAGUGACGGCUAACUACGUGCCAGCAGCCGCGGUAAAACGUAGGUCACAAGCGUUGUCCGGAAUUACUGGGUGUAAAGGGAGCGCAGGCGGGAAGACAAGUUGGAAGUGAAAUCUAUGGGCUUAACCCAUAAACUGCUUUCAAAACUGUUUUUCUUGAGUAGUGCAGAGGUAGGCGGAAUUCCCGGUGUAGCGGUGGAAUGCGUAGAUAUCGGGAGGAACACCAGUGGCGAAGGCGGCCUACUGGGCACCAACUGACGCUGAGGCUCGAAAGUGUGGGUAGCANACAGG